rnacentral:rRNA from 1 species
AUGAGCAGUCAUAUCACUCUGCAACUCAGAACUGGCAACUCCAUGAAGCUAAGCAAGAGUGAGCCUGGUCAGUACCUGGAUGUGAGACCUCCUGGGAAAAACUAAGGUUGCUGCUGGAA